rnacentral:rRNA from 1 species
CCGCAAUUUGGGGCGUGCCUAUACAUGCAGUCGAACGAACUCUGGUAUUGAUUGGUGCUUGCAUCAUGAUUUACAUUUGAGUGAGUGGCGAACUGGUGAGUAACACGUGGGAAACCUGCCCAGAAGCGGGGGAUAACACCUGGAAACAGAUGCUAAUACCGCAUAACAACUUGGACCGCAUGGUCCGAGCUUGAAAGAUGGCUUCGGCUAUCACUUUUGGAUGGUCCCGCGGCGUAUUAGCUAGAUGGUGGGGUAACGGCUCACCAUGGCAAUGAUACGUAGCCGACCUGAGAGGGUAAUCGGCCACAUUGGGACUGAGACACGGCCCAAACUCCUACGGGAGGCAGCAGUAGGGAAUCUUCCACAAUGGACGAAAGUCUGAUGGAGCAACGCCGCGUGAGUGAAGAAGGGUUUCGGCUCGUAAAACUCUGUUGUUAAAGAAGAACAUAUCUGAGAGUAACUGUUCAGGUAUUGACGGUAUUUAACCAGAAAGCCACGGCUAACUACGUGCCAGCAGCCGCGGUAAUACGUAGGUGGCAAGCGUUGUCCGGAUUUAUUGGGCGUAAAGCGAGCGCAGGCGGUUUUUUAAGUCUGAUGUGAAAGCCUUCGGCUCAACCGAAGAAGUGCAUCGGAAACUGGGAAACUUGAGUGCAGAAGAGGACAGUGGAACUCCAUGUGUAGCGGUGAAAUGCGUAGAUAUAUGGAAGAACACCAGUGGCGAAGGCGGCUGUCUGGUCUGUAACUGACGCUGAGGCUCGAAAGUAUGGGUAGCAAACAGGAUUAGAUACCCUGGUAGUCCAUACCGUAAACGAUGAAUGCUAAGUGUUGGAGGGUUUCCGCCCUUCAGUGCUGCAGCUAACGCAUUAAGCAUUCCGCCUGGGGAGUACGGCCGCAAGGCUGAAACUCAAAGGAAUUGACGGGGGCCCGCACAAGCGGUGGAGCAUGUGGGUUUAAUUCGAAGCUACGCGAAGAACCUUACCAGGUCUUGACAUACUAUGCAAAUCUAAGAGAUUAGACGUUCCCUUUCGGGACAUGGAUACAGGUGUGCAUGGUUGUCGUCAGCUCGUGUCGUGAGAUGUGGAUAGUCCCGCACGAGCGCACCUUAUUUAUCAGUUGCCAGCAUUAAGUUGGGCACUCUUGGUGAGAAC